rnacentral:lncRNA from 1 species
UGGGCAUCUUGAUAGCUAAUCACUUCAACUUUAUUUAAACCAGCUUUAUGAUGCUAGGGAUCAGUUGACGGAAACUGCAGAACGAUCAUCAUCAUUGGCAGGUCAUGUUAUCGAUUACGUGUUAGCUGAACUAUGGAAGACCAAGGCUGGGACAUCGAUUUGGUUGUCAAGAUACUGAGGCGGCAAAAAGAGCUUAUGCUUGCCCCUGAGACAAGCAAAUCAUACGAAGCACGCCUAGAUUUUACACAACAGGAUGUGAUAUGCGAAUUACAGAAAAUAUGGCGUGAAGUAGAUUACCAAGUGCUGGAUGAAUUAGGCGUUGAGAUACCACCGAAAUUUCCCGGUAUUCUCGCCUAUGUUCACAAGAGGUACGCCGGCAAUCAGCAGGUUUUUAAGGAACUAGACUACAUCACACACAGUGGGCCAUACAAAGAUAUCCUCCAAGUGGGGUCAACAUAUCCUGAUGUUGAGUUGGUAUCUGUAGAAUCGCAGGAGAAGUACCCACUCUCAAGACUGCAUCUCCACAAAGAACGCCCCCUACUCAUUGUUACGUCAUCAGCAUCCUGACCCCCGUUUCAGGCCAUCUUAAGGGGCGGCGGACUCUACAAUCUGUAUGCCGACUAUAAAGAUACGGUGGAUUUUUUAUGUAUAUAUCAGACUGAAGCUCAUCCUAAAGAGAUGUGGAAUCUAGGAUCUAUCCUAAGCAGUAUAUCACACCACGCUACGAUGGACGACAGAAAAGAAGCAGCAAUGAACUUGAUCAAGAUAGAUGAAGAACACUACUCCUUAUUUACAAGUGAUCCAUUCUCUAAUACUAAAAUCCGUUUGGUUUGCGAUAACAUGGACAACACCUUCAGAUCAUCGUUCAACGCCCAUCCGGACAGGAUUUUUCUUAUACAAGGCGAAAAGUUAACCUACCUCGGACGAACUAUUUUUUCACAAAUGUCUGAACCGAUGAAGUUGAUGACAGAUGAAGCCCGGCAAUUACUUAAAGAGAUUAUCGGAUAAACAGAAUCAGUAAAAGAAAUUCUCAGUAAUAUAAAAACUCUCUCAGGUUUCGUGUUUCGUGUAUUCUCUAUUUGAAAAACGAAAAUAUUUUAACUAGACAUUUCAUUAUCAUUUAUCUUUGAUAACCAGGGAGCUAAGUUAAUGGUGAAGAUUGUAAAUUGAUUGAAAUCUCCAGAAAAAAAUGUCUUUCAAUUUUAAAAUAGUGAAAUUACAAUGAAACGUAUACUGUACAUUGUAGGCGUGAUUAACUCCUCACACACACUGGGCCAUACCGUCCCCAUGUAGGCCUAGAUUGUGACUGCGUGGAUCUACGUGAACGAAAGUGUGCUAUAAAUACUAAAAUUUGGAUAACUUCCAAUGUGGUAGUACAGAAUGUACUGUAUAUUUAGACUCUACUCCUAUACUGUAUUCAAAAAUGUACUUUAUGCGUUCAGCUAUAAGUCUUAUCAAUGGCAAAAUUUGUUAUUUGAAUUGCAAACUUCGUAUUAGUAGCUUUCAAUAUUGAAAAGUAUAACGAGAUUGCGUUCUCUUUCCAUUUCGAACUUUAUAAACUAUUUGAUUAUUAGAGAUGUUCAAUGUUUUAUUGAAUGCUUGUUUUACGAUUGAAGAACAGAAAGUAUAUUCAUGCUAUGCCCUAUGCUAUGGAAUACUUUAUUCAAAUAUCAUUAUAAAAAUUAAAACUAUAGGGGCGACAAUCAUGUUCAUAAGAGGAACAAUAGAUACUCGUCAUAAAAUAUUGAAGGUAAUUUAUAGUCUUAUAAUAUUUAAUAAAACUUUAAUUAAAUUUAAAUUUAUUCACUCAAAAAUGCAAAGCAUAAUGUCAGGCUGGCAUGAGGAAAACUUGAAGCUGAAUCUCUGUUUACGCUAUCAAAUUUUAUUUUACUAAAAUCGUAUGCCCAUAUAGUCAUGAUGUGCCUAUAUAGGGUCAUGAUGUCAUCAGGACCAUAUUCAGGCAUGUCGCAUGUUUUUUAACAAAUUAAAUUUAGUCUGGCCAGGUCUUGAGGAACACUUGAAGCUAAAUAUCAAUUCACACUAUCACAUUUUAUUUUAUUUAAAAAAAACUGUUGUUUGCCCUUAUAUGUGUCAUGAUGCGACUAUAUAUGGUCAUGAUGUGAUGUCAUCAUGACCAUAUUUAGGCAUGUCACAUGUUUUUGUCAAAUGAAAUUUUAUAGUGUUAACAGGGCUUAAGCUUGUAAACAAUGUGUUCUCCGGCAAAAUUUAUUUAUAUCAGUACAUAAGUUUUUCAUUAUUGAAGAAACAAGAAAAACCUCAAUUAAAAUCCAUUUAGACCUAUACUUGUUAAGUAACUAUUCUUUAUAAUGAACUACUCAAUAAAUUAUCUACACUACCGUUCAGUUGAUAUUAGUUACACUGCGAUGUAUUUGCUUACAUUAUGAAGAUUAAAAUUAUUGUGUUGGGGAUGUUUGUGAAUUUGUCGUAUGUAUUUAUACUAGGCCUAGGUUUCGUGUAAGGAACACCCCCGGGAACCUCUCCCCAUGGUUCCAUCGCCGGGAUUCCAAACCGACGCCUUCUCGGUUGGUAUCAAUUGAGUUAUAGGCCAAGCUAGUAAUAGUAUACCGCACUGAAUUUCUUAAUCAUGUACGUACUUGUGAAUUCGUGGCCAUUUAUAUGUUUUAAGUUAAACAAUAACGUUCAAGACCACAAUGACAACAAUUUGGUAAAUGUAGAUUCUGCAGCCUAAUCGUUUGAUGAAUUGUCUUAAUACGCUACUGUUUCAUUUCGAAAAUGAAUAAAUGUUCUACUUCACAAAUGUA